GUUUCUGCUGGAUAAUGCAGCUAAAGAGAGCUAGUGGAGUGUGGACUUAUUUUCAGGUUCAGCCGAGCAGCCCUAAUGAUAUCUUUGGUCAACAAGUUGUUCCAGCAACAGUGCUGCUUGACAUUUAACUGGCGUCAUGCUGUAUAAUCUCACAGGGCAACCCCGGAGCUGGCUUUACUUUAAUUGUGUUUUCUCUUAUUUAUAUAAAUGACUGUGAAAACAAUGUGAGCUUAGAUGCAUGUAUACCCAUUAUUGUAAUGAAAUGUUUAUUAAGAUAAUAUCGCUUCUAUACUUUUCAGACUUUCAGCUCAAACAAAACGAAGGAGGAUUUUACGGUCGUUGAUGAAGUGUUUUGUGUCCUCGUUUCUGCUAAAACCACCAGGGGCUGACCAAAUGAAUUGCUGUAGCAUUCACAACACACAAGCGCGCAAGCCGCACAACGCCGACAGAUGAAACCGAUGAAAGGGGCUGAAUACGGUGGCGAAGAGAAGUGGUCCUUGAUGUCCCCCAGGUGUGUCACUGUGUGUGUGCAUCGACGUCUGGGCUGUGGGACAAAAUAAGACCCCCGGAACCAUCUCGGGAUGGUUUGUCCUUCUGUCCUUCCUACUCUCUUGAAGGGGAUUUUAAAUCCAAUCAAAUUAUACAUAUUUUUCUGGAUGGAUCCUUGAACAAUUUCCCAAUGUCAAAUUUUUGCUUCAAAAAUGUUGCUCGGCCCUUCAGAACUCAUAGCUCGUGUUUAAGCGUUUUUUUGUUUCAAUGAUUACGGAUAAAUAACAUUUUGUUUGUUAAUUGAAGAAAGACAGAUUAUAAACCUAUUAUGAUUGGAUCUGACCGAAUAAAAUUCCAUUUUAAAAGAAACACUAGGAACCUUUCACUGUCCAAUGAUAUCAUAUGCCGGCCAUGUCAGUGUAACAUGACUUCCUAUCGUAAAUGUUUUUAGGUUUUUCAUUUAAUUCCUGCUAGGGUACUAGGGGUUUUAUAAAUCAAUCUCAGUUGACUUAACUUGAUUGAAGAUAAUUGUGUUGCCUGUUAUAUAUAUAUUGAUGUGUGUUUGUUUUCCUGGUUUAAACUGGCAGUUAAGUAAUUAAAUAGUAAAACUAUAAUAAAGAUCAAAAAGAAUGAAGAGAA
ensembl:lncRNA